AAAACCGUCGAAAUUUUAGACAUUCAGACCAACGAAACGCGGUAUAGGGAUUGCUCUCAGCGUGAACCAACCAGGGUUCUAUGACUCUGCUGCAGGCUAUUCAUUGCGACAAUUUCACCUCUCUUUGUCCCUAUACGCAAUUGUUGUGUAGACCACGUUUUUAAAUCUUCAUUAGUAGUUUAGUAUGUGGUCAAAUUAGCUACUGUAUCAACGCCUCCUAACGCAAUUCAUGACGAUGUGUCAGAAAAAGACCGCCAGAAAUGUUGAAAUUAAGGCGAAAAUUCACGACAUAAACGCUGUGACAGAAAAGGUUUCUGAAGUGUGUAAAAUGGAAAUGGAAGUGAUUGAGCAAUGUGACACUUUCUUCAAAACGGAAAAUGGCCGCCUGAAAUUAAGGGAGUUUAAGGAUGGCAGCGGAGAACUUAUUUAUUAUGAUAGACCUGAUGUAGAUGGCCCAAAACUAUCGAGUUAUUCAAAAUCGUCGGUAACCGAUACAACCUCAUUAAAAAGUGUUCUAGAAAUGGCUUUGGGUGUAAAAGGCCUGGUGAAGAAAAAACGUAUGCUGUGGCAUUACAAUCAAACGCGAAUUCAUAUUGAUGAAGUGGAAGAUUUAGGAAAUUUUUUGGAACUUGAGGUGGUAUUGAACGACAACCAAACACCAGAAGACGGAACACAUGCUGCCCAAGAGCUACUUGACGUUUUGGUAAUUUUAGGAUUGUCUCUCUGACUGCUCCCGUUCUUACAUCAGCUUCUCCAAGAAGAUAAGCAGUUUAUGCACUUUGUGAUACCACGCAUUCGAAAAAUUUUCGUACUGUCAACUGCCACGCCGGUCGGUAAAAUUGCCAGUGCAAAUGGAAUUUGUUCACUGUUAAUGCUUGCGUAUACUGUAAAUACAUUUUUAAUUCGUGA